GCAUGGUGAUUGAUAACAAAAUUGUUGGAUCCUUAAACUGAAUUGUUAUCGGUUCAUAGCAGCUUACGAGCGAGCGAUGUGCUACACCAUACUUACUGGCACGGCCUUGUGUCAACAAUUGCAAAGAACGAACAGCUUGUUGACUGACAUCGUAGUCCAAUAGAUCAGCAUUAGCAAGACAAAACAAUAGACCACUCUCAUCAACCACUGCACGUCGCCAAAGUAAUUCGAUCUA